rnacentral:rRNA from 1 species
AGAGUUUGAUCCUGGCUCAGGACGAACGCUGGCGGCGCGCCUAAUACAUGCAAGUAGAACGCUGAAGGAGGAGCUUGCUUCUCCGGAUGAGUUGCGAACGGGUGAGUAACACGUGGAUAACCUACCUAUAAGACUGGGAUAACUUCGGGAAACCGGAGCUAAUACCGGAUAAUAUAUUGAACCGCAUGGUUCAAUAGUGAAAGACGGUUUUGCUGUCACUUAUAGAUGGAUCCGCGCCGCAUUAGCUAGUUGGUAAGGUAACGGCUUACCAAGGCAACGAUGCGUAGCCGA